rnacentral:rRNA from 1 species
AGCUCCAAUAGCGUAUAUUAAAGUUGUUGCAGUUAAAAAGCUCGUAGUUGGAUUUCUGGUACGAUGCCCCUGAUCCGCGCUCUUCGGAGUGUGUGUGUUGGUGUGGCGUCUGCCAUCUUUGUAGAUAUUGCCUUGGGGCCUUUACUGGCUUUGAGUGUCUUUCUCUACAUCUUUUACUUUGAAAAAAUUAGAGUGUUUAAAGCAGGCUUUUGCUAUGAAUACAUUAGCAUGGAAUAAUAAUAUAGGACUUCGGUUCUAUUUUGUUGGUUUCUAGUACUGAAGUAAUGAUUGAUAGGGAUAGUUGGGGGUGCUAGUAUUCAGCGGCCAGAGGUGAAAUUCUUGGAUUCGCUGAAGACUAACUUAUGCGAAAGCAUUCACCAAGGAUGUCUUCU